UGAGAAUAAAGAAACAGCUGCUUCCGGCUCCGUGUGAACACAUGGAAGAAGGGGCCAGACGUAUGCCGGCGAGAGGCUGUGUGACCGUUCCGGCAUUCUUUAUGUGCAGAGAUGCAGAGGACGGGCCCUUCACAGCUGGGAUGGUGAUGUUUGUCACACGUCUCCUGCUCCGUCCGACCACGGAGAGAGCCCCGGGACCACAGAGUCGCACAGCAGUGCUGACCAGAGCCGUGGAUCCUGCUGUUUGUGGCCCCUUCGCCUCUCAAGGGUGACAGGGUAAGGAGGAGCUGAAAGGUACUUUCCAGGACCUCUCUCCGUCGCAGCAGCUUGAGGCGGCUGCGCUGGGCUUGUGGGAGCAAAACGAGCAAAGAAGGCGGACUUUCCUGGGGCUGAGGCCUCGGCUUCUCCACCUUAGGGACGCCUGGUCCCAUCAACCCCUUCUGGCAUCCCCAGUCAUUUCUGAUGUCUGGUCGGUUCCACCCACAUGGGUUGACUCUCUCUUCUGUUCAGCAAAACUUAAAAGCGAAGCUCUACUGUCUUUUGUUUUUGAGGCGAUCUUUACAAUUGUACAGAAGAAGUCGUUACACUCACGCAGUCACUCAGCAAACAGUAGUUGGCUCUUUGAAUGGUAGGCGGGACGUGUUUAUGGAACACAAAGCAGCGACGCCUAGACUCCUAUGAAGCAUCAGUGAAGGCUGCGUGAACAAGUGCCCUUUAGGGAGGGAGAGAGGCGAGGGAAGAGUGUUCCAGACAGAGGAAUGCAUUGUGGGGGCCCUGAGGACGGGCCUGGAUUUGGCCGGGAGCUGAGAGGUAGAGGUGGUCGGGAUGUGGCCUCCAAGGGGAAAAGGUGGGAAGAAGAGAACGUGGGGCAAAUUCUCGGCUUCCCCAGGGCCCGUGUCUUCACGGCCUGACAGCUGAGGCAAGGCGAUUCUCCUUGAGGUCUGGCC
rnacentral:lncRNA from 1 species